rnacentral:piRNA from 1 species
UAGGCAAGAUCCCUACCCUCAUGGAACC